rnacentral:rRNA from 1 species
GGAAAUCUCACCAGGCCCGGACACUGGAAGGAUUGACAGAUUGAUAGCUCUUUCUUGAUUCUGUGGGUGGUGGUGCAUGGCCGUUCUUAGUUGGUGGAGCGAUCUGUCUGGUUAAUUCCGAUAACGAACGAGACCCCAACCUGCUAACUAGCCCUCGGGUCCUGCUUCUGUUGGGCCCGACGGAAUGAUUCGCUUCUUAGAGGGACUCGCGGCGCCUAGCCGCACGAAGGGGGGCGAUAA